CCUAAUAUUUCUCUGUAGGGCUGUUCUCAGUCCCUUCUCCAUCCAACCUGUGCUGCCCAGAGAAGCUGUGGCUGCCCCUGGAUCCCUGGAAGUGUCCAAGACCAGGUUGGAUGGAGCUUGGAGUAACCUGGGAUGGUGGAAGGUGUCCCUGCCAUGGCAGGGGUGGAACUGGAUGGGAUUUAAGGUCCCUUCCAACCCAAACCAUUCCAUGAUUCUGUGAUCUUUAUUUGCAGCAGAAAGUAACAGCAUCUGAGUACUGAAUUCUCAAGCAGAAGUCAGGGAGAAGUGCUGCCACACAGAGGCAGAGUUGAGGCUGCUUCUAAAGGGAAGGAGUGAAGGAAGAAAAUCCUUUUUGGUUAGAAAUUACCUGGAUUUCCUGCUGGGGACACCCCAUCACCCUUCAAGACUUUUUCCUUAUCCAAGAACUCUUGGUUUAGGUUGUUUUCCUAAGAGCUGCUGGGUUUUGAUACAGGAUGAAGGAUGA
rnacentral:lncRNA from 1 species